UGAAGCCACUGGAAGGAGAAGUUCUGAAAAUGUUGAUCCAGCUAGACGUAACUCACGAGGUGGGAUGAGAAGUUCGAUGCAGCGGAUCAAUGAGCUGCCUGAAGGAGGAAAGAAAUCUAGAAAAUCAGGUCUACGUUCUUUCAUGGGACUUAUUGGUAUAGGGAACACUAAUGUGGAGAAACACGAAAUGGAUAUUCCCAUAGAUGAAGAUCCAUUAAUAGAAAGUGACGAUGAAAGGCCAGAGAGUUUUGAUGAUAAGGUAAGGAAAAAGGAAAUGAGAAAGGGUAUUGACCUUGCUACCACACUUGAACGUAUAGAGAAGAACUUUGUUAUUACAGAUCCAAGACUGCCUGAUAAUCCU
rnacentral:misc_RNA from 1 species